rnacentral:lncRNA from 1 species
CUCUCAUAUAAAGUGGCUUUUCAUCUCUCUCUCUUAAUACGUCUCCGCAACAAACCAAACCCUACACUCCUCCCCUUGCACACAGAUGCACACACGUAUGUAAUGUAUAUAGAACUGAACGUCGAGAUCGAUGAUCUCAAUGCCAAGGUCAAUUCUUUAACCCUUUCCUUUUCACUUUCCCUUGAAGAUACAAAAAUUUGCAGAGUACCUUUUAAUUUGAAAAACAUAUAGAAGUUAAUACUUGGAUGUCUUGAUUACUACUUUCAGCAUCACUUAUUAAAUGUUAAAUCUUAUUUUCAUUUAAUAAGCAUAAUCUGUAAAUUGAUUGGUUGAAGUUGUCUAAGAAGCUUACUAACCGUGUAAUAAGGAAUUCGUCACCCAAGCUGCCGCUGUUGGCAGACUUCAAACUAGUGAAGAUUGGACCUCAAUGGGAAAACAUAAUAAUAAACUUGAUACAAGGUAUGAUCUACCUGAAAUCUCCGUAAGCAUUUUUUUUUUUAAUUUCGUUUCGUCUUUAACUUGCCAUUGCUGCUUAAACUUUAAUUCGUGUUUUUCACUCAUUUCAACUUAAAAUUGAACCUUUACAAAUACCUUUUAUUUGCUUAAUCAAAAAUUUAUUAUGAAAUUGGUUUUACACAACGAAUUGCAUGUUGCUAUGCUCUGGAUCUGCUUGUGGCCUGUAGAAUUUUACUCCUUUGGAAGCGGAUUAAAUUUUUGUAUGUUUAUAAGUUUUGUGGAUGAUGUGCUGGUUGUGAAAAAUGGAAGCAUUAAGCGUUUAUUCUAAAUUUGUUUUGAGAACCUCUAUUGCUGUGUGGUUUUUGUUUUUUUUUUGUUUUUUUUUGGGAAUUGAAUUUUGUCGUUAUAUGAUUUAUUGCUCUAGGAUCACGAUAUCUCUAGGAAUUUUUUAAGUAUCGAAAACAUUUUCAUUUUGUGAUUAAUGUAUUUUCAUCUACUUUUCAAUUACAUACAAAUCAUUAGUUGGGAGGAGAUGAAGGUAUUUGGUUCCAGAAGGCAAAUUCUUAAUGAAUAGUUUGUGAAAAACGAACUCAACAAUCAUAAUAAAAAUGGGAAGCAUGUUGGUUUCAAAAUAAUAAUCUCAUCUGAUGUUGUUGAAUGCUUUCUAUAUGCAUUUCUUUAUGCUUUUAUGAAUGCAGUCCAAUGAUUGCGAUUUUCAUUCCUUCUUUGCAAAUAGAAACCUACUGCUAGAAAUACAUUGGACAAAAUAGUUUCAAGUUAUCAAGUUGUGUAUUGUGGUGAACUGAAUGAAGCUGCUAUUUUCAACAACUGUAUUAUUCACUUCCUAAUUGCACUUCAUUAGUUUACUAUAACACUCUUUAGUAAUUUAUAUUAACUUUUUAUUCCCUUAUUUUAGUCCUAUAAACCAUCUUAUCUCGUCUUAAGAACAUCAACAAACUGGAAUGUCAAAAACACUUGCUCCUUUAAAUACUCUAAUAUUGAAUUAUACAUGACGUUUUCCCAUUUAUGUAUAGAUCAAACUUUACUCUCUGGCAAGCAAGGUAUCAAAAUUGCAUCAUGAUGUGAAAAAGAAUUACAGUAAACUUGAGAUACCACAAGAAGUUAAGAGAUUAUCCGUGAUUGUUGAAACUCAAGUAAGACUUUCUCACACUUUAAUUUUUUACUCUCAUGUUCUGACUUUUGUGUGAAAGCCAUAUGAAUUUCUCUGUUAACAGUUCAAUUUACCAAAAUGAAAAAUAUUAUACAUGUUUCUAUUCCAAGUGACAAUCAUAAAAGAAAUAUUCAAUUCUAAAAGCUUUUGAUCGCGUAUUAAUGAAUCCUAGAUGAACUUUCAAUUGUAGUCAUAAAAAGUAUAAAAUUUGAAACAUAAACCAUGUCAUUUGCAUUUAGAAAACAGUUUGUUUAUGAUUCAUCAAUUCAUUAUCUCUAAUAUCAACUAACAUAAUUUAUACUCCUUUUGAUUUAAUCUUUCAUUCUGCCACUCGUGUUACUCAUUACUGUUACUACACAUUUUCAUAAAAUCAAAUCACCUUAGUAAGAAGAAACAUCAAUGCCCAAGAGAACGAGAAGGGAAAAAAAAUAAAAAAAAGGAACAAAAUUCUUUUGCAUUACUUAUUUUCUUAAUUGUUUUUAAUCUAUAAAUAAAAAGGUUAUCAUGAACUAUGCAUAAGGAUUCCUCAACUUCUUCUUUAUCAGCCUUGAGCCAGGCAGAAGGUUUAAACAGAGGAGUUCAAUUUGUAAACAGAGUACCAGUUGGAUCAGGAUUCUAUUUCUUACAACCUAUUAGAAGAUACAGUUCAUAUGCUCCAAUGAACAUUAGUCAACGAUGUUGAAUUCGUUUCAUGAAUAAUAAAGAGCUAAUUUGCAACUGACAUAUUUUUACACCAAAAACUUCACUUUUAGUCUUCUGUUUGUAUAGUUCUCUUUAGCUUGAAAUUAUGAAUUCAUAAUGUGCUUUUAUUCAAAAUUCAUAUACUAUACGAAGGAUAAAAUAACUAACUCAUAUGAUUAGUCCACAAGAAGCCAAUAUCCAGGAAUGUACAUUACCAUGCCGAGCUAUUCUCCUAUAAUAUGAUCCAUAUAAAUUUAGCUUUUAUUUUUAUUUAUAAUUUUGGUUUUAAAAUGUAAUGUACAUGGGUAGUAAAUCUUAUAGAACUAAUCCUCGGCUUGUUCAAGCUUUGGACAUUCAUGUAGACCAUGAAAUAAACUGUUCUACUACAGCUACAUGUUAGAGAGAAUUUUUAACCGUUUCAUUGUGAAUCUACUUGUGAAGUGGUAUUGAUGUUUACACAGCCCUUACUGGAGCGUGGAGCCACUGAGGUUCUAUAAGGUCUUCUUCUCCUUGGAGCGGUGAGGUAAUCAGCAUUUUAGCGCUUCUAAAGUUGCUCUUACAAAAUUUUGUUUAGAAGUUUCUUUUUUGUAUGAUUGAUGCUACUUAAGCUGUUGAGUAAGAUUGAAAGUAUUAACAAGAUACCAGAGUACAUUGAAAGUGUAAAAAAUAGGUAGGUAUCAUCGUUGAUAGCAGCUAUUCCAAAUGCUCCUAUGCAUGGCUUAACUCCUGCAAUUCAUUUGCUUUUAUAAUCUCAUAUUCUCUAGGAACCGUAAGAUGUCUGGUUUUGGGCACUCUGUCUUCAAAAAUUACGAUCCACUAGCAAAAGUCAUCAAGAACCUUAUAGAGAUGUAAUUUCCAUUGUUCACUAGGAUCCUCUUAUAGAUGUCGGUUUGUAUUUAUUCAAAGUGGAUUUAGAUGUAUUUUUAAUUCAACACUUUUUAGUUUAUGCUGAAAAGCAAUCAAGUCUCUAAACAAGUUGAAAAUUUUCAAAGAAGAAGUAGUAAUGGGACAAACUUAAAUUAUGCCUAAUGAAAGGUCGUAAAAUAUGAGUAUAGAAAUACACUGAGCAAAUGAAACUAAUAGUUUGGGAACCUAAUUUUACUUUUCUGAUCUAAAAUAGAGAUUAAAGUCAGUUUCUGGUGAAAUCAAACUUACUCUUUUUGUCCCUAGAAACACAUUACUAUUGCUUGAUCUAAUUGGACUUUUGGGAUUAAUAGAGAUAAGCAACUUAACAUUUUAAAGUUAUAACCUAUCAAUAACUGCCUUGUACACUGGAAAAUGGGAAUACCCUACCCCUGACUCCUAACACUUUUUCACUGGACACAUCAAAGACAAAGUGUCCAACACUAGGAUGAAAAAACAAGUGAUGGAUAUUGGGACAUUUCUUAGGAGUGGUGAAGCAUGUAGACUGGUAACAUGGGCCUCUUGUUUCGUUGCUGUUUGUCAUUUUAUGAAUGUACGCAAAGGAAUGAUCCCUGUGAGCACGUGGCAAGGCAGUUGGAUUGGAACUUUUUACUUUUCCCCCUCAUAGCGCACUUUAUUUUCAAUACAAGUGAAAUUGAUAUUGCAAUUUAAAUGAUGUAAAUUAUUAAUAUAGUUUUGAUGGUUGUGGUUCUCCUUGCAGGGUAAAGAUAUUCUAUAUUGUGGCACCAUUUUAAAUUCUUAUAGAUUAAAAAAAUAUAUUGUGCUUAAAAAUGUCAUUUUGAGUCUAAACUUGCAACUUAUAUGCAUUAAUAGACAUCUACUUCUGGGUGUCCCAGAUUUUUGUCAUUUGUAGGUAGACAUAGCUUUGGAAAAAGCUGCUUUGAUCAGAUGAGUAUUUUAUGAAGAAUUCGUAUCACAAUGUUGACUUUUGUUCUCGGUCAAGCUAUAGGUAUGCAUAGAAUCUUCACCACAUCUGGUUCUUAUUUUUUUUCUUUUUAUUUUUUGUUGGGGAGGGAGGGAUUAUUAUAUAAGUUCUUUUAACAUUGACAACAUUCGAUACUGCUAUCCACGUUAAUAAAUUUUCUCUCAGAGUUCUUCUCCAUUCUAUUUGCAAUUCCUCAAAUGGUUGGCUAUUUAUCUCACUAGCGCAAUUCUUUGGACGAUCCUAAUACAAAGAUAAUGAGACCUGCCCGGUUCAUUUUAAACACCCUUCAUCUAUCUUUUAGGGAAAAAAAAAAAAAGAAUAUCAUAUCUGCUUUCUUGUCCUUGUCUCUGUCUUAAUCUUUGUUUUGCUUUGUAGGUAUAAAAUGGCGUAUGUUUACAACUUUAUAGGCAUUAGCUACAACAAGAAUGAAUACAAUCAACAGACGGUGUUGGUCUCCAAUGUCAAUAUGAAACGGCUAAUUGAAUGUAGCCAUCAUGGGAUGUAUACUCUUCCAUAGCCUACACAAAUCAGAAUGCCAAGGUAAAUUCACAAUUGUUCAAAAACAAGUAAUAAUUUUUAAAUUUUCGUACAUCCAUAAAUUGUUAGGCUAAAUUUUGCUUCUCAUAAAUCCAUCUUAAACUGUUUAUGUAAGACAACAUAAAGCAUACAAUUUGUAAUAGUAGUCAAAUGAAUUCAUAUACCUUAUUUCAAAAUAAUGGACAUUCCUCUCAAUUUUCUUUUCAUUUGGAAUAGAAGUGCUCUGUUUUUGUUCUAUGAAAUUCAUUGGAGAAGGUUAUUUCUCAUUUGAAUGAUCCUUUAGGGGUCUUGAUUAGUGCAUCGGCACUUCCACUGAAUCAAAUGGCUCAGUUCAUUCUAACCUUUCCCUCAAACGCAUUUGUAGCAAAGGUAGAAGCGUGGUGCGGCAUGUUUAUACGAUGCCCUUGAGGCUUUACUAUCGUCAAUAAAUGCAAUUGUAAUAAAUCAGAACUCCAAUUGUUUAUCAUCAAUAAAUGCAAUUCUUGUCUUACCAAUAUUGUUCACCUGUAUAAUUACAAUUGCACAUUUUCCUCACUCGAUAAUUUCGUUUCAUGUGAUGUAGAAAAGCAGCGAGACAAGUAAUCACAAUAUCCAAACUGAGUACGAAAAUGAUCUACCAAAUUAAUUUAUAAAAUUUUUGUCAUUAAUUUGUUUUAAUAUAUACUUCUUUAGUCACUUCAUUUUGUCAUUAAUUUAUAAAAUUUUUGAAUCUCAGAUGAAAGUAGUUUAAUAUUAGCUUGCUCGAUGCAAAAAUCCAAAUUUGUUUUAACAAAAAUCUUCAACCUUUUCCUGAUAAUAUGCACCACGCACACCCUCUGAGUUCGCAAGCAUUUUGUUAGCAAACUUUCAGGUAGCACCCUACUCCUCUUGGGCAAGCUAGCAUCAAAUCCAAUUGAAGAGAUUUUUAUUCAUCCAAUCAUAAUCUAUUUGUAUGCAAAUGUUAAUAUGCUGGCUUAUAGUAUUUUCUUAACUAUAGUUCAUUUUUCUUUUUCAAGAAAAAGUUUAGUACAAUAUAGUGAUGAGGCCUAAUUUCAUGGAUGAAAUUGAAUGUGGAAACUUCUUUGAUCAAAUUGUUGACUUCAUUGAGCUUUUCCCUGAAAACGAGGGUGCUGGUGGUGGCCUUGCUGGUAAUGGUGAUAUCAAGGAUUUUUGAGCAUUUAGGACAGUGUGUUUCCAGAUACCGACCCCAUUUUCUCCAGCAGCAAGCAAGCUUUAUGGGUAACUUUUUAAAUUCUAUAUUCAAAUUCUGACUUUAAAUUCACUUUUUAGCUUCUAUUUGUUGUAAAUCACCAUGUCCCUACAGAAACUUGAGGUAAAGGUGGCAUUGAGAAAUCCAUAUAAGUUUUAUUUCAAGAGGAUUAAAACAAAAAAAUCUGGUGUAUUCUACAUGCUAAAGUGAGAUAACAAAUUCUGUAAUUACUAUUUUCUUAUAUAUAUAUAUAUAUAUAUAUAUAUAUAUAUGUUUGCAUUUAAUUGUACCUCACUUGUUUACAAUUGUAGGAACCUGGCAAAUAAGUACCCAAAAGAUGAUCUAGAAUAUAUUCUGCUAACAAAGGUUUGAUUUAUUUACAUUUCUAUUUACUUUAAUCAUUACACUCAUUUGUCAUAUGUCCCCCAUUAUUGUUAUUAGUCUAGACACAAUUGCCGGUGAGAUACUAUAUAUUUUUUAAAUGAACUAAUGAUCAUGUGAUGCUCCCAUAAUAUAUAAAAUUAUUAGUUUGUCAUGGUUAACACUUCCUUUGUUACAUUUUCUUCUUGUCUUAAUUGUUGUAUUACGACCCAAAACUAAAAGAGAAAUUUUAAAUCUGUAAAUUCUCAUCUUCAUCCAGCUAUAUUCAACAAAACCUUUUAAUCUAGAUAUGUAAAAUCAUUCUUCAGUUGUACCAAAUUUGUUUCAUCUACAAAAUCUGCAAGUGACCUUUUAUGUUGAGCUAUGUAAACUCAAUUGCAUCAUCUGUAGUUAUGUUGUUGCUGUUGCUAAACUUGGAUGAUGUUUGUAGUGAUACUAUCUUUCUAAAGGUGCAAUUUUCUUUUUUUAAGCUAUCAUAAUGGGAUUGUUACCUCCCCUACCACCAAUAUUAUCCUUCGAAGGCUCAAUUUAAUAGCUUGAAUGCUAGGAUGCCAAUGAUGCAGAUUAAUUUGGUGGGGAACUAUGGGAAUAAGUAAUAAUUUGAAGUGGUCGAAUGGACUGAAUCCUGAAAUAUAAGGGAAAUUUAAAUUGUUUUGUAAUACGGGAAAUUAGAAAAAUAGAUGCCAAUAUUGAAGCCAGGAAGAGCAUAGUAAAAGAAUUAAGGAAAUUAUUAGAAAAUCAUUUACAUGUAAUAUUCCUACCCCACAUUUGCUUAGAUAGAAUUUGAAUGGACUAAAUCCUGUAAAUUUAAGAGAACAUUUUAAGAGAUUCAUUGUACUUGAAAAUAAUUUGUUGUGUGAUACAUGAAAUUGAAGAAAUUUAUGCGAAGCAAGAAGAGAAAAUUGGGGAGCUGGAAAAGGUAAAUGCCAAUUUUGAAGUCAUGAAGAGUGAUGUAAAAGAACUAGGGAAAAUGUUAUAUUAUUUACUUAAAAAAGUUCCAACCCCAUGUUUGCUUAGAAUUUGAACCUACGAUUUAUACUUGAUAGUUAAUUCACCUUUAAAUUGUGCUUUAAUUUUUUUCUGAAAAAACAUUUAAUUUUUUACAUUAAUGUCACUUCCUUUCAAAAACGCAAGGAAAAUGCAAUUAUUGUGAACCCAAAUCAAUUCCUUAUAGAAACUCAAGGAAUAGGUGGCUCUUAGACAUUGAAUACAUACAUAUCAGGAGCAUAUGAUAGAUUUAAAGUAAUACAUACAUAUCAGGAGCAUAUGAUAGAUUUAAAGUAAUACUUUUAUUCUUUAAUUUUAUUUUUUUCCAAUCUAGAUAUCAUGUUACUUAUCCUAUUGAAAGAAAUUGAGCACUUUAUUUUUCUUCAAGCUUAAAUUCUUGAACCUUUCAUUUCUUUAUUUCAACUUUAAUACAUGCACUCACUUAUUUGAUAUCAAUAGUUGCCAUUUUCUUUUAUCUUCACUAUUUUUUUCAUAUGUUUUUGUCUCCAUCUUCUACUCCGUCUACUUAGUAGAGGUCACCUAAACCAUUCCUUGUACUGAAUAUUUAAACAAGCUUCAUUUUGGAAAGUUACAAAUUUGGCAUAACUGGGUUGAUAUUGUCAUUCAAUGAAGUCUUAUUGGUCUUUUUUUUUUCCUCAUUCAUUUACACCGUUGUCCAUCACUAACCUAUCAUUUUCUUGUUUGUGAUUAUGUUUUACAAAUUGCAAGUUUCCAUUAUUAUAAUUCACUGUUCAUAUUUUUCAGUUUUAACUAUAUGCAUCUCUUGAUGUUUAUUUUCCUCCCUAGAUUUUUUAAGCAUUUGAGUCGGUAGAGCUUGUGCAACUUCCCACAAAUUCAGAGAUGGGACAUUGCAAUGGUUUCGAGUUUGUUUAGGUCAGUAUUUUGUGGAAGUUGAUUGUUUUGAAAAGUGUGUUGCAAUAACUAGGAUUCUAAUUUUCUACCUUAUCUUUGAAUAUGAGUUUUAUUGAUACAUCAUUGCAGUUUGCACAACUUGAACAUGCAAAGGUAGCACAAAGUGUGAUACGUCUACCAACCCUCAAACACUGUAAGGGGAUAGAAUACACGUGCCUUCUAUACAAGAGUUCACUAAAUCUGACUUUUCUAUUAAUCCGAUAUGAUAAAAUUAUAUUUUUAGAAUAAAACAAUGUCACUUCCAACGUCCAGGUAUACAGUAAACUCGAAUACAGAGUCAACAUGGCAAGACAAUUGAAAAAAUUAAUCAAAGUUCAAAAGCCACCACCAAGAAUGCACACUAUUAAGCCCACAUAUAAAAUCUGAUUUAAGAAGACGUGUUUUGUUUAUUCCACAUAUGAACUCCAAAAGGCUAAGUAUAAAACCAAGCAGAAGUCUCUCUAUGCUAAUAGGCACGUGAAAUCAUAUAAAAUAUCAAAUAAAAUAAUAUGCUUUAUUAAGUAUUUACCUCCAUUUGCUACUUAUUUUCUCGUAGUCACUCUUUCAAAGGUCUUGACAAUCUAUCCAUACCAUCACUUCAGUGAGAAAAGCAUCCUGGACCAUAGGCACCAGACUAUCAUAACAACAAUUCUUUGCUGCAAUUAUCAUUAAAGUAUUAAUAGAAGUAAAGCAAGAUUAGAAGAAAGUUUAUCAAGUUUUGUCAAGGCAGGGAUGGAUAAUCCUCUUUUCCUCAAUGUUUAGGCCAUCGAUGGUUAUUUUUAUAAGCCUUGGAUAUACUAGCUCCUGAGGCUUCCAUAGCAUUAAUGCAAUCACAGGUCUUUUCUUAGAAUGAUAAUUCUUACCUCCUUACUGUACAAUUUGACUGCCAUGUCUAUGAAUUGAUCUUCGCAAGUGUUUUAUCCUGGAAGGUAAACAAAUACCUUAAUGCACAAAAUAAAAGGGCAAACCAUGAACAUCAGAAAUGAAAACUACUGUUGGUGGUGGCCUUGUUGGUAACAGUGAUAUCAAGGAUUUCGAACAUUUGGGACAAUUCACUGCCAAAUAUCGACCCCCUUUUCUCCGCUAGCAAUAGCAAUAGCAAUAGCAAUGCUCCAUCGGACCUCACAACUGAGCUUGCUAUUCAGGUGAGCAUCAAUAUGUUCUACUCAAUUUUACCUCAUUUGGUUACAAAGUAGUUCAAUAUAUGCAGUCAAUAAAAUUCAUUGAGACAUUUUUGUAAGUAUAAUUUGUUAUGUGAUUGCCAAAGAAGGAAUAUUAUGCGAAUUUAAAAGUUUUUGCUUCGUAAAAAGCGACAAUGAACACUUAGCUUAGUCUCAUGCUUGUUAAAUUGUCGUUAUAUGAGUCAAUUAGCCGACUCCAAAUUUAUUGGGAACAAGGUUUAAUUUGUUAUUACAUCCGUUCAUUGUUUCAUCAUUUGGUUCUAUUUCCAGUUAGGCAAUCAACGUUUAAGUAAUUUGUACUUCAUUUACAUUUCAUCUGCCUUUACAUUUUACUUUUAACUUGCGUUAGUCCUUAUUGCAUAUCAGGUAGUAGGAGUGUGACGCAAAGCAGAGACACUCAAUCAAAACAUCGGUUGUAAUAGUCCCCCGAAUUGGAAAAGCAAAUAAUAUUCUCCAACCAAGUGAUAUCUUGGAGCUGAAACUCUCAUAAAGUUGCUGAAGGACUAUUCAAGAAGCCAUGAGGUUCUUCAUUUUUCUUUUCAGUCUUUGUGCAUUUUUUACUUGUAGUAUGGCUGCCUACGUAUUCUCCUAUAUUUUCUAAUUUUUUUGUUUGAAGUAUUUUGUUCCAUAACUUCCUUUGCCCAAUUUAUUGCAAAUUUUCGUUGCUGGGUUUAAUUCGGAUUAUCAAUGCCUACACCUAUAAAAAGAGAGAUCCUCUUUUGCAAAAUGUGAUAUUCUAUACAAUUAUAUGUUUGCGUUUUCUUAAAG